UGAAGGGAGCUUGCUCUCUGAUUCAGCGGCGGACGGGUGAGUAAUGCCUAGGAAUCUGCCUGAUAGUGGGGGACAACGUUUCGAAAGGAACGCUAAUACCGCAUACGUCCUACGGGAGAAAGCAGGGGACCUUCGGGCCUUGCGCUAUCAGAUGAGCCUAGGUCGGAUUAGCUAGUUGGUGAGGUAACGGCUCACCAAGGCGACGAUCCGUAACUGGUCUGAGAGGAUGAUCAGUCACACUGGAACUGAGACACGGUCCAGACUCCUACGGGAGGCAGCAGUGGGGAAUAUUGGACAAUGGGCGAAAGCCUGAUCCAGCCAUGCCGCGUGUGUGAAGAAGGUCUUCGGAUCGUAAAGCACUUUAAGUUGGGAGGAAGGGCAUUAACCUAAUACGUUAGUGUUUUGACGUUACCGACAGAAUAAGCACCGGCUAACUUCGUGCCAGCAGCCGCGGUAAUACGAAGGGUGCAAGCGUUAAUCGGAAUUACUGGGCGUAAAGCGCGCGUAGGUGGUUUGUUAAGUUGAAUGUGAAAGCCCCGGGCUCAACCUGGGAACUGCAUCCAAAACUGGCAAGCUAGAGUAUGGCAGAGGGUGGUGGAAUUUCCUGUGUAGCGGUGAAAUGCGUAGAUAUAGGAAGGAACACCAGUGGCGAAGGCGACCACCUGGGCUAAUACUGACACUGAGGUGCGAAAGCGUGGGGAGCAAACAGGAUUAGAUACCCUGGUAGUCCACGCCGUAAACGAUGUCGACUAGCCGUUGGGAUCCUUGAGAUCUUAGUGG
rnacentral:rRNA from 1 species